CUAUCAUGCAAGUCGAGCGAACAGAUAAGAGGAGCUUGCUCCUUUGACGUUAGCGGCGGACGGGUGAGUAACACGUGGGCAACCUACCUUAUAGUUUGGGAUAACUCCGGGAAACCGGGGCUAAUACCGAAUAAUCUAUUUCACUUCAUGGUGAAAUACUGAAAGACGGUUUCGGCUGUCGCUAUAAGAUGGGCCCGCGGCGCAUUAGCUAGUUGGUGAGGUAACGGCUCACCAAGGCGACGAUGCGUAGCCGACCUGAGAGGGUGAUCGGCCACACUGGGACUGAGACACGGCCCAGACUCCUACGGGAGGCAGCAGUAGGGAAUCUUCCACAAUGGGCGAAAGCCUGAUGGAGCAACGCCGCGUGAGUGAAGAAGGUUUUCGGAUCGUAAAACUCUGUUGUAAGGGAAGAACAAGUACAGUAGUAACUGGCUGUACCUUGACGGUACCUUAUUAGAAAGCCACGGCUAACUACGUGCCAGCAGCCGCGGUAAUACGUAGGUGGCAAGCGUUGUCCGGAAUUAUUGGGCGUAAAGCGCGCGCAGGCGGUCCUUUAAGUCUGAUGUGAAAGCCCACGGCUCAACCGUGGAGGGUCAUUGGAAACUGGGGGACUUGAGUGCAGAAGAGGAAAGUGGAAUUCCAAGUGUAGCGGUGAAAUGCGUAGAGAUUUGGAGGAACACCCAGUGGCGAAGGCGACUUUCUGGUCUGUAACUACCGC
rnacentral:rRNA from 1 species